AAGACUAUACUGUCCGGGAUCGUUUCUAUAGUUUGUUACUAGCAAGUUUCUCUGAAUGUGUAGAGCACCUGAACCACAGGAGGAGGCACGGUGUUCUCUCCUGAAUGUGAAGACGGCUUUGGGUGUUGUUUGUACAACUGCCAAUAGCCACUGAUGAUUGUUCUCUUCGUUUGGAAGAGUAAGAGGGAGGGAAUGCUGAAUGAGUGGC